AAGUCGGUCUCCGUAGGUGAACCUGCGGAGGGAUCAUUAACACGUUUCCGAACGUUUAACAUAUUCACAUCAACCGCGUGAUAUAAUUGAAUCAAAACCCCAAUGGAAGAUCGAGAAUUCUAUCUAGAAUGCACGGAGUGAUGAGUGCGUAUUGCGAGCUUGCUCGCUUGCGCAACUGGUGUACCUAGAUUAGUAUUGCUGAUAGUCUCACUGUAUGCGAGCAAUCGCGUGCCUUGAUUCCAGACUCUACAAGACCUCUUUUAACCAUAGUUCCCUUCAUCGCUGGAACGCAAACAACCAUUUUCACAUCUUAUAACCACUUGACAGGUUCUCAGCGUAGCGAAAGCCGCGUAUGAAACCACAAAUAAUCAAAUAUCUAAGCACAACUCUUAGCAACGGAUAUCUUGGUUCUC
rnacentral:misc_RNA from 1 species